AUCGACCAAAGAUUUUGUUUGUUUGGAUAAACAACUUAGUUAAACGCUUUUAGAAUAAGGCUAUCUUAUAAUUGCUUACUUAUAAGCCAUUUUCUAAAACCAAAGAUGAAACAAAGUCAUAUUAUUUUCAUAAGUUAUUCUAAAGAGCUUAUGGAUACGAAUGAAAACCAACUUAUGGACAUGUCAUAAGUUAUUUUCAUAAGCUUUCCUGAGCAAUCUCACAAGUCUUUAUAUCAUCACAUAAGUUCAAGUAAUUCAUUCCAAACAAGCCAUUUGAACAAUUAUGAAGAAAUUUUAUUUUUUAUUUCUACUAAGGAAGGUUUGGUUAUCCUUAGGGAAGUUAUGCUUCAUUCAAUGAUUAUGAAAGUCUAGCAGUGACAAUUCCAUCCAUUAAUCCAUGAUCCGUCCAUUCAUUACUCCAUCGAUUAGUUAAGAGAGUCUAUGAUAGACAAAAUAAAAGGAGUUAAGGGGAAUUAAUAAUUGUAAGAGCGGAUAUUCUGUCUUGCAUCCUAUGGCAGAUCUAAUUUCAAGCUGGUCAGUUUUUCUUAUUUCUCCGCUUUGAAUAGAUCCUAGAAUGCAAUACUUGAAUACAGAAGAUUUGACAUAUUCAGAUUAAUUGCAUAGUUAUUGCAAAGGUUAUGUAAUUCUGUUAACUAUAUUUUACAUCACAUGUCAUGAGAUCUAAAUAGUUCUCAAGGGUACUGAAGUGUUACCCCUUGAAUAUAUCAUUGUUCUGUGUAGAGAAACGACUGUUCUAUAAUACCAAACAAUUUUUGUUUUGAAUAUUUGAUUAUAUUGUGACAUUUCAUCUGUUCUUA